rnacentral:misc_RNA from 1 species
GAUGCAGAACGCAGCGAAAUGCGAUACGUAAUGUGAAUUGCAAAUUCAGUGAAUCAUCGAGUCUUUGAACGCACAUUGCGCCCCCUGGUAUUCCGGGGGGCAUGCCUGUCCGAGCGUCAUUGCUGCCCUCAAGCACGGCUUGUGUGUUGGGCCCCGUCCUCCGAUCCCGGGGGACGGGCCCGAAAGGCAGCGGCGGCACCGCGUCCGGUCCUCGAGCGUAUGGGGCUUUGUCACCCGCUCUGUAGGCCCGGCCGGCGCUUGCCGAUCAACCCAAAUUUUUAUCCAGGUUGACCUCGGAUCAGGUAGGGAUACCCGCUGAACUUAAGCAUAUCAAUAAGCGGAGGA